GGCAGGUAGCUCAGUUGGUAGAGCAUGAGAUUCCUAAUCUCAGGGUUGUGGGUUUGAGCCCCACAUUGGGCA
rnacentral:tRNA from 1 species